CACACACGUUUAACAGUUAGUUGGGAAUCAUUUUUUACUGCUCAGAGUAACAACUUUUUUUUUUACUUGAACAAUUUGUUUUAUGUUCACUUUCAGGACACGGACGCUGUAAAUCGAUUGGUUUUUCCAGUCUGCCAAGGCUCCGACUGGCUAGAAGCUGUGUGAUAUGUUUGAUAUUCGGUUGUUCUUGUGCUUCAUUGUGUCAACUAAAUAUCAGACAUAUUCCUACAGAGUCUGGCAAAAACUUCUGAUCCUCGUACCAAUGAUAAAAGACCCAUGAAGUCAGAUGUUUAGGUAUGGUAACUUUUGCAAUCAGAGGAUUGUUAUCUAUUGCUAAAUAACAUGAAAUAUCAUUGUAAUGUCCAUUUGUAUUCUUCAAGUUUUAUUGCAGUAUCUUUAUUAAACUCAAAGACUGAAUGCCAUAUUAUUCAUCGGGACAUGCAGUAUUUAACUCUGUGAAGCAAAAGUAAAAAUACAUUUUAGUGUUGUUGUGCUUAAACUAAAUGCACUAUAGUAACACUUUAUCAUGAAGGUGUAAUAAUUAUUAACAUUAUACUCGUGUUAACAAUAAUGUCAUUCAGUAUCAAAUUUCAAAAUUGAAAUGGUUGUUUACUUUUUUAUGUAUUUGAUGUAGUAUACACUCCAAUAAACCAAUACAAUUCACUUUUA